GGACGCUUAGCUCAGCUGGUUCAGAGCGCCUGCCUUACAAGCAGGAGGUCAGUGGUUCGAUCCCACUAGCGUCCA
rnacentral:tRNA from 1 species